CCUCCGAUAGCUCAGUUGGAAGAGCGCAAGACUGUAAUGGGUUAUCCGCACUUCAUCUUGAGGCCGCUAGUUCGAUCCUGGCUCGGAGGA